rnacentral:tRNA from 1 species
GGCCGGUUGGCCCAAUGGUAAGGCGUCUGACUACGAUCCCGUCCGUGGUUUCAUCCACCCUUAAGAGAGGCGCCAGGUAUAAUCAGGAGAUUCUGGGUUCGAGCCCCAGGCUGGUCA